AACGCUAGCUACAGGCUUAACACAUGCAAGUCGAGGGGCAGCAUGGUCUUAGCUUGCUAAGGCUGAUGGCGACCGGCGCGCGGGUGAGUAACACGUAUCCAACCUGCCGUCUACUCUUGGCCAGCCUUCUGAAAGGAAGAUUAAUCCAGGAUGGCAUCAUGAGUUCACAUGUCCGCAUGAUUAAAGGUAUUUUCGGUAGACGAUGGGGAUGCGUUCCAUUAGAUAGUAGGCGGAGUAACGGCCCACCUAGUCAACGAUGGAUAGGGGUUCUGAGAGGAAGGUCCCCCACAUUGGAACUGAGACACGGUCCAAACUCCUACGGGAGGCAGCAGUGAGGAAUAUUGGUCAAUGGGCGAUGGCCUGAACCAGCCAAGUAGCGUGAAGGAUGACUGCCCUAUGGGUUGUAAACUUCUUUUAUAAAGGAAUAAAGUCGGGUAUGCAUACCCGUUUGCAUGUACUUUAUGAAUAAGGAUCGGCUAACUCCGUGCCAGCAGCCGCGGUAAUACGGAGGAUCCGAGCGUUAUCCGGAUUUAUUGGGUUUAAAGGGAGCGUAGAUGGAUGUUUAAGUCAGUUGUGAAAGUUUGCGGCUCAACCGUAAAAUUGCAGUUGAUACUGGAUGUCUUGAGUGCAGUUGAGGCAGGCGGAAUUCGUGGUGUAGCGGUGAAAUGCUUAGAUAUCACGAAGAACUCCGAUUG
rnacentral:rRNA from 1 species